rnacentral:rRNA from 1 species
GACGAACGCUGGCGGCGUGCUUAACACAUGCAAGUCGAACGGAAAGGCCCUGCUUUUGUGGGGUGCUCGAGUGGCGAACGGGUGAGUAGCACGUGAGUAACCUGCCCUUGACUUUGGGAUAACUUCAGGAAACUGGGGCUAAUACCGGAUAGGAGCUCCUGCUGCAUGGUGGGGGUUGGAAAGUUUCGGCGGUUGGGGAUGGACUCGCGGCUUAUCAGCUUGUGGGUGGGGUAGUGGCUUACCAAGGCUUUGACGGGUCGCCGGCCUGAGAGGGUGACCGGCCACAUUGGGACUGAGAUACGGCCCAGACUCCUACGGGAGGCAGCAGUGGGGAAUAUUGCACAAUGGGCGGAAGCCUGAUGCAGCAACGCCGCGUGCGGGAUGACGGCCUUCGGGUUGUAAACCGCUUUCGCCUGUGACGAAGCGUGAGUGACGGUAAUGGGUAAAGAAGCACCGGCUAACUACGUG